CGAAAGCCUGAUCCACGCCAUGCCGCGUGAGUGAUGAAGGUCUUCGGAUCGUAAAAGCUCUGUGGGGAAGGGAACGAAAAAGCCUAACCUAAUACGUUAGGUCUUGACGGUACCUUCUUAGCAAGCACCGGCUAACUCCGUGCCAGCAGCCGCGGUAAUACGGAGGGUGCAAACGUUGCUCGGAAUUAUUGGGCGUAAAGCGCACGUAGGCGGUCCGCUAAGUCGGAUGUGAAAGCCCUCGGCUUAACCGAGGAAGUGCAUCCGAAACUGACGGGCUAGAGUACGGAAGAGGGUUUCGGAAUUCCCGGUGUAGAGGUGAAAUUCGUAGAUAUCGGGAGGAACACCAGUGGCGAAGGCGGAAACCUGGGCCGAUACUGACGCUGAGGUGCGAAAGCGUGGGG
rnacentral:rRNA from 1 species